UGGGAAUUUUCCGCAAUGGGUGAAAGCCUGACGGAGCAAUGUCGCAUGGAGGUAGAAUGCCCACGGUUCGUGAACUAUUUUUCCCAGAGAAGAAUCAAUGAUGGUAUCUGGGGAAUAAGCAUCGGCUAACUCUGUGCCAGCAGUCGCGGUAAUAAAGAGGAUGCAAGCGCUAUCCAGAAUGAUUAGGCGUUAAGCGUUUGUAGGUGGAUUUUUAAGUCCUCCAUCAAAUCCCAGGACUCAACUCUGGACAGGCGGUGGAAACAACCAAGCUCGAGUACGAUAGAGGCAGAGGGAAUUUUCGGUGGAGCGGUGAAAUACGUAGAGAUCAGAAAGAACACCAACAGUGAAAGCACUCUUCUAGGCUGACACUAACACUGAGCGUUGAAAGCCAGGGAGCAAAUG
rnacentral:rRNA from 1 species